UUUGAUCCUGGCUCAGAACGAACGCUGGCGGCAGGCUUAACACAUGCAAGUCGAGCGCCCCGCAAGGGGAGCGGCAGACGGGUGAGUAACGCGUGGGAAUCUACCCAUCUCUACGGAACAACUCCGGGAAACUGGAGCUAAUACCGUAUACGUCCUUCGGGAGAAAGAUUUAUCGGAGAUGGAUGAGCCCGCGUUGGAUUAGCUAGUUGGUGGGGUAAUGGCCUACCAAGGCGACGAUCCAUAGCUGGUCUGAGAGGAUGAUCAGCCACAUUGGGACUGAGACACGGCCCAAACUCCUACGGGAGGCAGCAGUGGGGAAUAUUGGACAAUGGGCGAAAGCCUGAUCCAGCCAUGCCGCGUGAGUGAUGAAGGCCCUAGGGUUGUAAAGCUCUUUCAACGGUGAAGAUAAUGACGGUAACCGUAGAAGAAGCCCC
rnacentral:rRNA from 1 species